rnacentral:rRNA from 1 species
AGAAUCAACGCUGGCGGCGUGCCUAACACAUGCAAGUCGAACGAGAAAGUGGAGCAAUCCAUGAGUAAAGUGGCGCACGGGUGAGUAACACGUGACUAACCUACCCUUGAGUGGGGAAUAACUUCGGGAAACCGAGGCUAAUACCGCAUAACACCUACGGGUCAAAGGAGCAAUUCGCUUAAGGAGGGGGUCGCGGCAGAUUAGUUAGUUGGCAGGGUAAUGGCCUACCAAGACGGUGAUCUGUA